rnacentral:tRNA from 1 species
AUUUUUGUAGUUGAUAUACAACAGUGGUUUUUCGAGCCACAGGACUCUAGUGGGCAAAAAUU